rnacentral:rRNA from 1 species
UACAGAGGGGGCAAGCGUUAUUCGGAAUUAUUGGGCGUAAAGGGCGCGUAGGCGGCCUGGCAAGUGGAAGGUGAAAUCCCUCGGCUUAACCGAGGAACUGCCCUCCAAACUGCUUGGCUUGAGACCAGGAGAGGUGAGUGGAAUUCCCAGUGUAGCGGUGAAAUGCGUAGAUAUUCGGAGGAACACCAGUGGCGAAGGCGGCUCACUGGUCCAUUACUGACGCUGAGGUGCGAAAGCGUGGGGAGCAAACAGG